rnacentral:rRNA from 1 species
AUGAAAAAAGGAGGUAAAUCUCAGAGCUCUCCAAGUGAGGUUUCAAAUUUUAGAAAACCAACAUGCAUAGGUCCAUUCUGCAAUGCUAUAAUGUGGCAUCAAGAGAGAAGCAAGCAUAACACAAAUAAGUCAAGACCAACAUUCGGACUUUGUUGCAGGGAAGGCAAAGUCAAACUGCCACCAUUAAAAAAACCUCCAGCAUACCUUCAACAGCUACUAACAUCUAAUGAAAAGGGAGAAUCAUCAAAUUACAGAGACAAUAUCAGGAACUAUAAUUCAAUGUUUGCAUUUACUUCGAUGGGUGGCCAGGUCGACUACGAGAUAAACAAAAAAGGUGGUGCACCAUAUGUUUUUCGCUUGAAUGGCCAAAACUAUCAUCAAAUUGGCACGUUGCUACCUAAAGAUAAUGGAGAUAAUGCUCUCAGGCCAAAGUUUGCUCAAUUGUACAUUUAUGAUACAGAAAAUGAGGUGAGAAACAGAAUGCCGGCUUCAACCUCAAAGGAAAGGAAAACACAACUUCAUGAAGGCAUUGUGUCUGGAUUAUUGCAGAUGCUUGAUGAUCACAAUGAGUUAGUGAAAUCAUUCUAUAUGGCAAGGGAUAGAUACCGAGAGUCGGAUCUCGAAAAUGUUAGGUUGCGAUUAAUUGGUACAAGAUCCAGUGAUGGAAGACAAUACAACCUACCAACUGCAUCUGAAAUAGCUGCACUCAUUGUUGGGGAACAGACAGGAGAAAAUGUUGAACGUGAUAUAAUUGUAGAAAACAAAGACAAACAACUCCAGCGAAUUUCAGAACUGCAUCCAAGCUUUAUGUCUAUGCAAUACCCGUUGUUAUUCCGAUGCGGAGAAGAUGGAUUCAGACCGGAAAUAAAAUUAGAAAAAACAAAAGGUGUCGAAGGAAAGAGAAAGUAUGUUACCAUGAUGGAGUAUUAUGCAUAUCGCAUACAGCAGCGACUGAACCAGUCAGUAGUCUUGCAAACGAGUGGAAAAUUGUUCCUUCAGUUCAUCGUAGACGCAGCAACAUGCAUUGAGCAAUGGAGGCUGAAUUGGUACAGGAUGCAUCAAGGGACGCUUAGAACAGAGUUAUAUAGCGGUCUGCAAGACUCAAUUGAUAAUGGUGAUACCAGAAUUGAUCAAGUAGGUAAAAGAAUUAUACUACCUUCAUCAUAUAAUGGAAGUCCGAGGAAUAAACAGCAGUACUGCCAGGAUGCAAUGGCCAUAUGUCGGUGGGCUAGAUAUCCAGAUAUGUUUAUCACUUUCACAUGCAAUCCCAAAGUGGACAGAAAUACAGACCAUGUUGGACUUCAUACCAGGACAAAAACCAGAAGAUCGUCUAGACAUUGUCAAUAG